UAUGUAGGGCGCAAGCGUUGUCCGGAAUUAUUGGGCGUAAAGAGCUCGUAGGCGGCUUGUCACGUCGGGUGUGAAAGCCCGGGGCUUAACCCCGGGUCUGCAUUCGAUACGGGCUAGCUAGAGUGUGGUAGGGGAGAUCGGAAUUCCUGGUGUAGCGGUGAAAUGCGCAGAUAUCAGGAGGAACACCGGUGGCGAAGGCGGAUCUCUGGGCCAUUACUGACGCUGAGGAGCGAAAGCGUGGGGAGCGAACAGG
rnacentral:rRNA from 1 species